UGAAUCAGGAAUAAGGGGAGAAUGGUGUGGUGGCGGCUCAUGAACAGGAGAGCCUUUCCCUAUCUGAUCAUACUCAUUAUGGUGACACCAUCAACAUUGACAUUCUCAGGAAUGUCCAUGGGCACCGGUCCAGCCUCAGUACCGGCAUUCAAAUCAUAGAUCCAAUUUUCCCUAUUUUGCACAUCUAUGUGGUUUGGGCAAGGUAAAGCAACACUAGGGACCUCUCUGUUACUAAUCAUAAGGGAAUAUAUUGC
rnacentral:lncRNA from 1 species